GGGAUAACAGUUAGAAAUAGCUGCUAAUACCGCAUAAGCGCACGGUUCCGCAUGGAACAGUGUGAAAAACUCCGGUGGUGUGAGAUGGACCCGCGUCUGAUUAGCCAGUUGGCGGGGUAACGGCCCACCAAAGCGACGAUCAGUAGCCGGCCUGAGAGGGUGAACGGCCACAUUGGGACUGAGACACGGCCCAAACUCCUACGGGAGGCAGCAGUGGGGAAUAUUGCACAAUGGGGGAAACCCUGAUGCAGCGACGCCGCGUGAGUGAAGAAGUAUUUCGGUAUGUAAAGCUCUAUCAGCAGGGAAGAAAGUGACGGUACCUGAAUAAGAAGCCCCGGCUAACUACGUGCCAGCAGCCGCGGUAAUACGUAGGGGGCAAGCGUUAUCCGGAUUUACUGGGUGUAAAGGGAGCGUAGACGGCAAGGCAAGUCUGAAGUGAAAGCCCGGUGCUUAACGCCGGGACUGCUUUGGAAACUGUUUAGCUGGAGUGCCGGAGAGGUAAGCGGAAUUCCUAGUGUAGCGGUGAAAUGCGUAGAUAUUAGGAAGAACACCAGUGGCGAAGGCGGCUUACUGGACGGUAACUGACGUUGAGGCUCGAAAGCGUGGGGAGCAAACAGGAUUAGAUACCCUGGUAGUCCACGCCGUAAACGAUGAUUGAUAGGUGUAGGUGGGUAUGGCCCAUCGGUGCCGCAG
rnacentral:rRNA from 1 species